rnacentral:rRNA from 1 species
GACGAACGCUGGCGGCGUGCCUAAUACAUGCAAGUUGAGCGCUGAAGGUUGGUACUUGUACCAACUGGAUGAGCAGCGAACGGGUGAGUAACGCGUGGGGAAUCUGCCUUUGAGCCGGGGACAACAUUUGGAAACGAAUGCUAAUACCGCAUAAAAACUUUAAACACAAGUUUUAAGUUUGAAAGAUGCAAUUGCAUCACUCAAAGAUGAUCCCGCGUUGUAUUAGCUAGUUGGUGAGGUAAAGGCUCACCAAGGCGAUGAUACAUAGCCGACCUGAGAGGGUGAUCGGCCACAUUGGGACUGAGACACGGCCCAAACUCCUACGGGAGGCAGCAGUAGGGAAUCUUCGGCAAUGGACGAAAGUCUGACCGAGCAACGCCGCGUGAGUGAAGAAGGUUUUCGGAUCGUAAAACUCUGUUGGUAGAGAAGAACGUUGGUGAGAGUGGAAAGCUCAUCAAGUGACGGUAACUACCCAGAAAGGGACGGCUAACUACGUG